rnacentral:rRNA from 1 species
CCGGCGCACGGGUGAGUAACGCGUAUGCAACCUGUCCGUUACAGGGGGAUAGCCCAUGGAAACGUGGAUUAACACUCCAUAAUAUAAUAUAGAGGCAUCUUUGUAUUAUUAAAUAUUCAUAGGUAACGGUUGGGCAUGCGUCCUAUUAGAUAGUUGGGGGGGUAACGGCCCACCAAGUCGAUGAUAGGUAGGGGUUCUGAGAGGAAGGUCCCCCACACUGGUACUGAGACACGGACCAGACUCCUACGGGAGGCAGCAGUGAGGAAUAUUGGUCAAUGGGCGAGAGCCUGAACCAGCCAAGUCGCGUGAGGGAUGACUGCCCUAUGGGUUGUAAACCUCUUUUGUAUGGGGGGAAUAAGCUUUACGAGUAGAGUGAUGACAGUACCAUACGAAUAAGCAUCGGCUAACUCCGUGCCAGCAGCCGCGGUAAUACGGAGGAUGCGAGCGUUAUCCGGAUUUAUUGGGUUUAAAGGGUGCGUAGGCGGCAUUAUAAGUUAGUGGUAAAAUAUUGGGGCUUCACCUCACUACGCCAUUAAUACUGUAGAGCUAGAGAACAGACGAGGUAGGCGGAAUAAGUUAAGUAGCGGUGAAAUGCAUAGAUAUAACUUAGAACACCGAUAGCGAAGGCAGCUUACCAGACUGAGUCUGACGCUGAUGCACGAGAGCAUGGGUAGCGAACAGGAUUAGAUACCCUGGUAGU